UGGGGAAUUUUGGACAAUGGGCGCAAGCCUGAUCCAGCCAUGCCGCGUGCGGGAAGAAGGCCUUCGGGUUGUAAACCGCUUUUGUCAGGGAAGAAAUCUUCUGAGUUAAUACCUCGGGAGGAUGACGGUACCUGAAGAAUAAGCACCGGCUAACUACGUGCCAGCAGCCGCGGUAAUACGUAGGGUGCAAGCGUUAAUCGGAAUUACUGGGCGUAAAGCGUGCGCAGGCGGUUUUGUAAGACAGAGGUGAAAUCCCCGGGCUCAACCUGGGAACUGCCUUUGUGACUGCAAGGCUUGAGUGCGGCAGAGGGGGAUGGAAUUCCGCGUGUAGCAGUGAAAAUGCGUAGAUAUGCGGAGGAACACCGAUGGCGAAGGCAAUCCCCUGGGCCUGCACUGACGCUCAUGCACGAAAGCGUGGGGAGCAAACAGGAUUAGAUACCCUGGUAGUCCACGCCCUAAAACGAUGUCAAC
rnacentral:rRNA from 1 species